UACGUAGGUGGCAAGCGUUGUCCGGAUUUACUGGGCGUAAAGAGCGCGCAGGCGGGUCUUUAAGUCAGGGGUGAAAUCCUGGAGCUCAACUCCAGAACUGCCUUCGAUACUGGAGAGCUCGAGUCCGGGAGAGGUGAGUGGAACUGCGAGUGUAGAGGUGAAAUUCGUAGAUAUUCGCAAGAACACCAGUGGCGAAGGCGGCUCACUGGCCCGGUACUGACGCUGAGGUGCGAAAGCGUGGGGAGCAAACAGGG
rnacentral:rRNA from 1 species